CAUGAUUUAGCCAGUACCCCCAAGCAGAGAGACCUUUAGUUUGGUACCCCGAAACCAGGUGAGCUACCCCGAGACAGCCUAUAUUAAUUUAGGGCUAACCCGUCUCUGUGGCAAAAGAGUGGGAAGAGCUCCGGGUAGAAGUGAAAGACCUACCGAACCUGGUGAUAGCUGGUUGACUGAGAAAUGGAUAGAAGUUCAGCCUCGCACACCCCAAACCAAAAAGUAUUAUCAACAAGAUAUUAAGGGAAACGUGCGAGAGUUAGUUGAAAGGGGUACAGCCCUUUUAACAAAGGAUACAACCUUUACAGGAGGAUAAAGAUCAUAAUGUAUAAGAUAUACUGUUCUAGUGGGCCUGAAAGCAGCCACCUAAACAGAAAGCGUUAAAGCUCGGACAGAAAGAAGUUUAUUAUACUGAUAAAAAAUCUUAUUCCCCUAGCUAUAUCAGACCAACCCAUGCCUCCAUGGAAGAGAUUAUGCUAAAAUGAGUAAUAAGAAGACCAGCUCUUCUCCCAGCACAAGUGUAAACCAGAUCGGACUAACCACUGGAACUUAACGAACCCAACCCCAGAGGGUAGUGUGAUUAACAAAAAACUCAAGAAGACCUCACAUUGAUUGAUCGUUAACCCCACACUGGAGUGCUAUUUUAAGGGAAAGACUAAAAGAAGGGGAAGGAACUCGGCAAACACAAGCCUCGCCUGUUUACCAAAAACAUCGCCUCCUGCAACUAGACUGAGUAUAGGAGGUCCAGCCUGCCCAGUGACUACGGGUUCAACGGCCGCGGUAUCUUGACCGUGCAAAGGUAGCGCAAUCACUUGUCUCUUAAAUAGAGACCUGUAUGAAUGGCUAGACGAGGGCUUAACUGUCUCCCCCCUCCAGUCAGUGAAAUUGAUCUAUCCGUGCAGAAGCGGGUAUAAAUAUACAAGACGAGAAGACCCUUUGGAGCUUAAGGUACAAAAUUCAGCCACGUUAAACAACUCCAUAAGAAGCAAGAACUUAGUGAUAAUGAAAUUUUACCUUCGGUUGGGGCGACCGCGGAGGAAAAACAAGCCUCCGAGUGGACUGGGCCAAAUCCCUGAAGCCAAUAGAGACAUCUAUAAGCCGCAGAACAUCUGACCAAAAAUGAUCCGGCUAAAAGCCGAUCAACGAACCAAGUUACCCAAGGGAUAACAGCGCAAUCCCCUCCCAGAGCCCAUAUCUACGAGGGGGUUUACGACCUCGAUGUUGGAUCAGGGCAUCCUAAUGGUGCAGCCGCUAUUAAGGGUUCGUUUGUUCAACGAUUAAAGUCC
rnacentral:rRNA from 1 species